UUCCAUUCUAACUAACGAACCAAACAACCCUUUUUUUUCUUUUUCUCCUUAAACCAACAGCCCUAACCAAAUGCUUAACUUAUCUCCUCUCUCUUCAACCUAACCAUGGCUGCCACCCCUUCCACCCCGUCACCUCACCACCACCAAACCCAUCCAACAGAACCCUAGACCUCUCCCAUCACCUAUUUCCCAUCAACUCUCUCUCAAUACAACAGAUACAAGUUAGGAUCGUCAGAUUCUCGCUCUCAACGGCUCUCUUCCUUUCCAAUCAGUCUGAAAAGGUGAGAUUUUUCCUCCCUUCAUCAUCUCCUCUGUCAGAAACGUCUCUAAGAAUUUUCCCACUUGUUUGAAUUUCGAAUUCUUGGCUUCCUUGAGAAGUUGUUCAGCUCCUAAAUCUAGCUAUAAAUACAACCCUUUAGCUUUGUGUUGAAAGGAGUUUUUAAAAGGCUAAAAAAUCCCUCCUUUCGAACGAGCUUUUCAAUUGGGAGAAAAUCCUCUUCUCUUAUUAUUAUUAUUAUUAUUAUUAUUAUUUUACAAGUUUUCUCAGUGGAAAACCUUCCUUCUUUCAUUUUAUGAGAACAAGUAGGGCUGGGCAUAAAAUACCGAAAACCGAAUUACCGAACCGAACCGGCUAUUUCGGUAUUUCGGUAUUCGGAAAUUCGGGAAUUCGGUUCGGUAUUCGGUACUGAACUAUAAAAUUUAGUAUUUCGGGAUCGGUAUUCGGUAUUUACAAUUAUACCGUUCGGUAAUUCGGUAAAUACCGAAUACCGAAAUUAAUAAGUCCACUAGUGAGUAGUCCAGCCCAAAUCCUAAAUAAUGGCCCAUUGUAAAAACAUUCAAGUGCAGUAGUCCAGCCCAAAUCCAAUAAAAGUCCCAUUGUUAAAACUGUAAAUUCCUAAUGAUCAGUUCACUACUUCACUUCACAGCUUCACGCCUUCACCUUCACUCCUUCAGUGCUUCACACAAAAUCUCCCCAAAUCUGAUAAUCACUAAUCACGGUAUCACCUCAGCUCCAACUGCGAAGUGCGAAGUCUCUUUUCUCACAUUAGGUUUUUCUCAUUCCUUCCUCAAGGAGAAAACAAUGCGAGGCAGUAGAACAAAGAUGUACCAAAAGUUGAAGCGAAGAAAUUUGGAAGCACGGCAUGUUUGGCCGAAGAACUAGAAAAGGGGCAAAUAGGGCUCAAGUCUUAAACCUUAUUUAUUUUUAUCUAAAUUUAUGUAUCCAAGUAUUACAUGUAUAUUUGGAUCUAUAACAAAGUGCUAACCUAUUUACUUUGGUUUUCCUUCUUAA